CUCCAUCAGAGUGUGUUGGGACAGGUAUGAUGUGUACUGUAUCUGUGGAUUCACUUACCCUCCAUCAGAGUGUGUUGGGACAGGUAUGAUGCCUACUGUAUCUGUGGAUUAUCUUACCCUCCAUCAGAGUGUGUGGGGACAGGUAUGAUGUGUACUGUAUCUGUGGAUUAACUUACCCUCCAUCAGAGUGUGUUGGUUUGCUGCUUUGUUGCACACAGCUGUGUGC